AAUAUUGGGACAUAUAAAAAAAGUCAACUCUGUUCCGCAGAGUAGCUGUUGGCAUUAUAGUUGCGCAAGCACUUUGUUGACUCUAGAGAACCUCGGGCCAAUCGCACAUCCCCAUGGUGGCUACUUUGCAUGCGGAUGUCAUCCAUAUCAACUUUAGAUGCCAGUUUCUGCGCCUUCCAUGGUGAUCACGGGUAACGGGGAAUCAGGGUUCCAUUCCGUAAAGGCUACCACAUGCAAGGAAGGCAGCAGGCGUGCAAAUGACCCACUCCCGAUGCGGGAAGGUAAUGA